rnacentral:rRNA from 1 species
UACGGAGGGUGCAAGCGUUAUCCGGAUUUACUGGGUUUAAAGGGUGCGCAGGCGGAAGAUUAAGUCAGAAGUGAAAUCCCCGAGCUCAACUUGGGAACUGCUUUUGAUACUGAUCUUCUUGAAUAUAGUUGAGGUAGGCGGAAUACAACAUGUAGCGGUGAAAUGCAUAGAUAUGUUGUAGAACACCAAUUGCGUAGGCAGCUAGCUAGGCCUUUAUUGACGCUGAGGCACGAAAGCAUGGGGAGCGAACAGGAUUAGAUACCCGCGUA